UUCUUCCGCUUCAGGGAAUGCUGUCUUUUUGUGCUCUUUUGCUUGCUUGAAACUGGAUGGGAGCUGCAAAGAAAGAGAGCGUACAUUGAAGUCACGGCAGGGCCGGAAGAUCUCAGCAAGAAAACACACCACUCUUGAAGAUGACUGUGUCCGACUCGCCGGUGGUGCUGGACGUGCCCACGGAAAAAAUGAGGUGACGGUCCCACGCCACCAGGAGCAGCCUGAGAACCUGAAUAGGCACUGCAGGUGGUACUGGUGGCCACACUGCGCCAGGCGGCCCACCGACUCGGCGCGGGAGAUUCCGCCCACGCCGGGGCCUUUGUAGCCGGAGGGGCCGGCCAAGACUUCCAUGCAGAUGGUGCAGUCCUGAGGGGACUGCGGACUUUCUGAAGAUACCUCUUCACCACCUCUUCGGGGGUCCUACCUAUCACAUUAAAACCUUUCCGGGCCUGCUUCUUGGUGGUUUUGCGACAGCAGUGGCCCAAGCCCGGCACGGGUUUAAUGUCACUCUUGCUGACCGGCGGGGGAUGGAGCACCAGUUUGGGAGGACGGGUCAGGCAAACAGGAAGUCCCGCCGCGCUCAUGAGGAUGCCGAUGCGACGGCAGACCCUUGUUGGCUUUGUUCACGGUCGAGGGUUAACUGAUGACUUCCAUGGUGGGAAUUUACAAAAUGGGAGUCAGUGGAAGUCUUUCAGAUACGGCAGGACUUGACGGAAUUCACCUCUCGCUUCGGCCUGUCCGUGCUUGGGAGGGCACACGGCGGCUCGUCCUCCGGGUCCUUGGCGGUGGGGGGCGCCGCCGGGGCCGC